rnacentral:rRNA from 1 species
CAGUCGAAUGAAGCACUUUAUUUGAUUUCUUCGGAAUGAAGAUUUUGUGACUGAGCGGUGGACGGGUGAGUAACGCGUGGGUAACCUGCCUCAUACAGGGGGAUAACAGUUGGAAACGACUGCUAAUACCGCAUAAGCGCACAGGGUCGCAUGACCUGGUGUGAAAAACUCCGGUGGUAUGAGAUGGACCCGCGUCUGAUUAGUCAGUUGGUGGGGUAACGGCCUACCAAAGCGACGAUCAGUAGCCGACCUGAGAGGGUGACCGGCCACAUUGGGACUGAGACACGGCCCAAACUCCUACGGGAGGCAGCAGUGGGGAAUAUUGCACAAUGGGGGAAACCCUGAUGCAGCGACGCCGCGUGAGCGAUGAAGUAUUUCGGUAUGUAAAGCUCUAUCAGCAGGGAAGGAGAAAUGACGGUACCUGACUAAGAAGCACCGGCUAAAUACGUGCCAGCAGCCGCGGUAAUACGUAUGGUGCAAGCGUUAUCCGGAUUUACUGGGUGUAAAGGGAGCGCAGGCGGUACGGCAAGUCUGAUGUGAAAGCCCGGGGCUCAACCCCGGUACUGCAUUGGAAACUGUCGGACUAGAGUGUCGGAGGGGUAAGUGGAAUUCCUAGUGUAGCGGUGAAAUGCGUAGAUAUUAGGAGGAACACCAGUGGCGAAGGCGGCUUACUGGACGAUUACUGACGCUGAGGCUCGAAAGCGUGGGGAGCAAACAGGAUUAGAUACCCUGGUAGU